CGCGGGGUAGCGCAGCCCGGUAGCGCGUCGCGCUCAUACCGCGAAGGCCGUGGGUUCGAGUCCCACCCCCGCAACCA
rnacentral:tRNA from 1 species